AUUUUCGGCCAUGGAGGAAACUCUGACAGAGCAGUGCCGCGUGACUGAUGAAGGUCUCCGGAUCGUAAAGUACGGUUAUCAGGCAAGAACAGUACUAAUAGGAACUGCUUACUAUCAGACUGUAACUGAUUAUGAAGGACGUGCUAACUACGUGCCAGUAGCGGCGCUAGUACGUAGGGGGAAAGCGUUGUCCGGAAUUAUUGGACGUAAAGGGUGCGUAGGCGGCCUUUUAAUUCAGAUGUGAAAGCCCACGGCUUAACCGUGGGAUUGCAUUUGAAAAUGGAAGGCUUGAGUAUCGGAGAGGGUAGUGGAAUUACCAGUGUAGCGGUGAAAUGCGUAGAUAUGAGGAGGAACACCAGUGGCGAAGGCGACAACCUGGACGAAAACUGACGCUGAGGCACGAAAGCUAGGGGAGCAAACA
rnacentral:rRNA from 1 species